UGCACCAGAAGAGGCGCGUCACCCAGGCAGUAUGUCAGAGAAUCCGUAUUCAUUGACGGCAUAUCAGGGGGAGUGACGCCGAGACGAUAAACAUACGGGCUGUUUAUUUGUCGGCUACAGGGGCUGAAUCCCUUGAGUUGUCACCAAUACAUCAGUUGAUGUUAAUGACGUUAGGUGGGGGGCUUCUGAGUAG
rfam:Bacteria symbiont BFo2 of Frankliniella occidentalis strain BFo2 contig034, whole genome shotgun sequence.